rnacentral:lncRNA from 1 species
GCAAAUUUCCUCUCAGCUGAAGAUUUUGAGCCAGCUCUAAUUCCUGCUGAGACUAUUCCGGAUCCAAAUGAUAAGAAGCCAGAGGAUUGGGAUGAAAGGGCAAAGAUUCCAGACCCAGAUGCAGUGAAGCCAGAUGAUUGGGAUGAGGAUGCACCCAUGGAGAUUGAAGAUGAGGAAGCUGUCAAGCCUGAAGGGUGGUUGGAUGAUGAGCCUGAGGAGAUCGAUGAUCCUGAUGCUUCAAAGCCAGAAGAUUGGGAUGAUGAGGAGGACGGUGAAUGGGAAGCUCCUAAAAUUGAUAACCCAAAGUGUGAGAUAGCACCUGGAUGUGGUGAGUGGAAGAGGCCAAUGAAGAGGAAUCCUGCUUACAAAGGAAAAUGGCAUGCCCCUCUAAUUGACAAUCCAGAUUAUAAGGGCAUUUGGAAGCCUCAGCAGAUCCCAAACCCUGAUUACUUUGAGCUCGACAGACCUGAUUUUGAACCUAUUACUGCCAUUGGCAUCGAGAUUUGGACAAUGCAAGAUGGUGUUUUGUUUGAUAAUAUUUUGAUAGCCAAUGAUGAGAAGGUUGCAGAAGCAUACAGGGACACUACAUGGAAGCUGAAGUUUGAAGUCGAGAAA